GGGCGGAUAGCUCAGUUGGUUAGAGCACACGGUUGACAUCCGUGAGGUCGUAGGUUCGAGCCCUAUUCCGCCCACCU
rnacentral:tRNA from 1 species